rnacentral:rRNA from 1 species
UACGUAGGGUGCAAGCGUUGUCCGGAAUUAUUGGGCGUAAAGAGCUCGUAGGCGGUUUGUCGCGUCUGGUGUGAAAAUCCAGGGCUUAACCCUGGACCUGCAUCGGGUACGGGCAGACUAGAGUGCGGUAGGGGAGAUCGGAAUUCCUGGUGUAGCGGUGAAAUGCGCAGAUAUCAGGAGGAACACCGGUGGCGAAGGCACUCUACUGGGCCAUUACUGACACUGAGAGACGAAAGCUAGGGGAGCAAAUGGG